rnacentral:rRNA from 1 species
UACGUAGGGUGCGAGCGUUGCCCGGAUUUAUUGGGCGUAAAGGGCGCGUAGGCGGCCACGCACGUCCGUUGUGAAAUCGCCCGGCUCAACUGGGCGGGGUCGGCGGAUACGGCGUGGCUGGAGCAAGCUAGGGGGGCAAUGGAAUUCCCGGUGUAGUGGUGGAAUGCGUAGAUAUCGGGAGGAACACCAGUGGCGAAGGCGGUUGCCUGGAGCUUUGCUGACGCUGAGGCGCGAAAGCGUGGGGAGCGAUCCGG